AACGCACCUUGCGCUCCUUGGUACUCCGAGGAGCAUGCCUGUUUGAGUGUCAUUAAAUUCUCAACUCUCUCAUACUGUUUUGUAAAGGAGAGCUUGGAUUGUGGAGGCUUGCUGGCAGCUUGUUUGCAGUCAGCUCCUCUGAAAUGCAUUAGCAGAACCGUUUGCGAUCUGUCACAAGUGUGAUAAAUUAUCUACACUGGCGAGGGAUUGCUCUCUGUGUUGUUCAGCUUCUAAUCGUCUCUGCUUUGUGAGACUACAUUUUGAAUACUUGACCUCAAAUCAGGUAGGACUACCCGCUGAACUUAA
rnacentral:misc_RNA from 1 species